CUCUUCCUCCGCCUCCCCUCCAGCUCCAGCCUCUUCCUCGCUCUCGCGCCGUCGGCUCUUGCUCUCGUGCCUCUGAUUGCUAACCCCCCUCACGCCCUCAACCCUCCCACUGCCACCGCAGUUUAUCUCCUGAGCGCGCGCCGCGCCCGCCGCCCCCUACUGCUCCACGGCAUGGCCGAAUUGGGGCUCCGACUCCAUGCCGACCGCGGCCGCGACGAUGCAGGGGAGCACGGGGAGGGCGGAAUCGAGCGGAUAGAGGCCGACAGCGGGGAGCGCGAUCUUGAAGAUGCCGAGCCACGCGAGGAAGAAGCAGCGACGGCCCGGGUGGUGGUGAGGAGGAGAAGGCCCUGGGUGCCUCGGAUCACCGGGAGCAGAUCUGAAUUUGCGUCGCACGGGCGCAGGCAGGCCUUCGCGACUCGGGGGUAGCGGGCGGCAGGCGCGGCGCACGCACUGCCUAGGGAAGCGGGUGGAACUGCGGCAGCACUGGAGCAGGAUGCCUGGCCGUGGGCACAACAGGUGAAUACUUUUUCCUGGCGCAUGUGCAACCUGAUCGCUGUGAACGAAUUGCUUAGCUUUUUUUCUAUUCGAUUCUAGAACGCAUGUGCAACCUGAUCUAUUCCCUAGAAUCUUCAGCCUCACUGCAUCCAUCUGCGCUCCCUGUUCAAUGCUACAAUGAUCAGUAGGUGUGGUAGCUACUGGUAAAGAAGGAUUCAACUGCUCCAUGUUCCUGUUAUGUGUUGUCUUCUUGCACAAUUUUUAAAAAUCUAGUUCGCUGUCAGCAAAUGUCAUCCUCAGGCUAUGGUUGCAGUAGCGCUGUUAGAUAACAAAUUUCAUUUUGGGUUGAUUGUAACAGUGGCGUAAUUGUCCACUCAAAGAAACGAUUCCCCUUUUGUUCAUCUAUGUCGACAACUCAUUAUUUACCCGCAAUGAUUUAAAUUUUAUUUUGCAUUCUUGUGCUAGACACAGAAUCUGUCGUACACAGGUAUAGAAAUAUGACUUCUUAAGAAAUUGGUCCAUGCAGGCAACAUAACAUGCUAAAGAGUAGUCUUAUUAUCCAUUGCUUUACUUUGGUUUGCAUUGGGUGCAAAUAGUAAGAAACCUGAAUGGUUUGUGUUGAGCUUCUGCAAUGUUGUUAGGUAAAUUGCUAGUCUCAACUCUCAAUCUAGUACAGCAGUGCAUGACUUUUUUUAUUUCUAUUAUGCUCAAUAUUCUGUGCACUUAAAAUGCACUUGCCUUUAGAAUGUAUAGUAAUUUCACCUGCAAUCUGAUAGGCACCCUCCUUAUUUUUUUGAUCCUAAAGCAUUUCUUUUGCAUAUGUGCUGGCUACAUAGCACACCCUAUUGGGCUGUGUAUUUUUCAAGUAGGUGUGAUCUCUCCUGUUCAACUGAUAUGUGGACUCCCUGAUAUCUUGCCAUAGCCUGGUGAUGAGGUGUUCUAUGAUUGGUGGGCCUGAAGAUCAAUACUCUAGUUCAUGUAUAAAUUAUUUGAUUGCCUAUAAAUUUUGCACUUCCCUGUCCAAUCUUUAGUCUGUAGCCUAAUGAGAUAAAAGGUUCCUGUGUCAAUACAACUGACAUGCAGUUUGUUCACGCUUAUCAAAUUUCAUGGUUAUCAUACAGCCACAUACUAUAGUGCUAUUUCUGUCACUGCCUAAGCAUGCAUUUCUGUCAUUAUCUAAACAAACAACCAUGUGUCUUCUUGAUAGCAACCUAAAGAAAUUUUACUUACUAUAGUGCUCUUUAUGCAGGAAGCUGUGCUUUAUUAAUUCAGAAGUACCAGCUCCAUAUUCUUCAGAAGAUGCUGAGGUUUGAUGAAAUGAGCAAUAAGGGGUUCAGAUCUUGUUGUGUUGAUAGAUGGCAUGAUAAUAGUAGAGCACCACAGUUAGUUGUGUUUAACCGAAUCCAAUAUUUUUUGGUGGGGCUGUGAUGUUCAGUAGUGCACACAUUUACUUUAAACUUAAAAUUUGAUAAACAUGGACCUGUUUUUAUUUAUAAACUGCAUAUAGCCACAUGAUAAAUUGUUUAGUAUAAUGAAUGCUGCUGCUGCAUGAAUUAUCUAGUAAGAAUAUCAUUGAACAUCAGAUUGAUGUAUACUGCCAGUCGUAUUUAAUCUGAAUCGUUUUCAUGCUUAUUGCUUCCUACUAAGCUUAGGCCUUUUCUACUUAUCUAUGUUUUUACUUGACUAAUCUUUUUCACUGAACUGCAUCUCUGUUUUUUUUUUGCAGCAAUUGACUAUGUAGCUAGAGGGGUUCAAUAUAUUGCUGGAUGUGUUGGUUGAGGAUAAGAUGUAACAAGGAACCAACAGUUAGAAGAGAUCAGUUGAUGAUCCGAUGCAUCAAUAACAAGCAAUUAGAAGAGGUAGAAAAUUUGAAGAAGGCAACAAAGGAGACAUGGUUUUGGUCUGUUUAUAACUCGUGUUAUUUACCUUGGUUAUAAAUGGUUGUAAUCUUUUCUUUGGAUGUGAUUUGUACCUUAUGUCUUCAGAAUGAUGUGUCUGGUACCUUGUAAACGUUUGGAUGGUGAUUAAAAAUGAUUUGUGCCAAUGAACAUAGGCCUGGAAAAAAUUACUUGGGUUUGAAUUUGUUU